rnacentral:tRNA from 1 species
UAGCUCAGUUGGUUAGAGUGCCGGCCUGUCACGCCGGAGGUCGCGGGUUCGAGCCCCGUCAACC